CUUCCCCGAAGGAGAGAUCAUCCUCGGACAUGAAGGAGAAUUCUGGCAACGUCUCGGAGCAAGCCUCGCCGUUGCGCACGGGUCUAAUCACUGCAUGCCAGCCCGUUUUCCUGCUCAUCUCUCUGCCUGCUGACCAGUCAUGCAGUCGACCCGUCCACUAGCUUCAUCCAGUCACACUCACAUCUUUGUCUUCAUCCCUGCUCUGCCCUGCCGCGUCAGCCACCAGCUUCCCUCUGCCCCUCUGCCUUCGCCUGCUGACACACUCAUCUCCAUCCACCUUCACUCCCUGAGAGCUCAGUCAAUAAACCUUUUCUUAUUCAAUCCAA